GAUGAACGCUGGCGGCGUGCCUAAUACAUGCAAGUCGAGCGAACGGACGAGAAGCUUGCUUCUCUGAUGUUAGCGGCGGACGGGUGAGUAACACGUGGAUAACCUACCUAUAAGACUGGGAUAACUUCGGGAAACCGGAGCUAAUACCGGAUAAUAUUUUGAACCGCAUGGUUCAAAAGUGAAAGACGGUCUUGCUGUCACUUAUAGAUGGAUCCGCGCUGCAUUAGCUAGUUGGUAAGGUAACGGCUUACCAAGGCAACGAUGCAUAGCCGACCUGAGAGGAGGAUCGGCCACACUGGAACUGAGACACGGUCCAGACUCCUACGGGAGGCAGCAGUAGGGAAUCUUGCGCAAUGGGCGAAAGCCUGACGGAGCAACGCCGCGUGAGUGAUGAAGGUCUUCGGAUCGUAAAACACUGUUAGUAGGGAAGAACAGAUGUGAAAGAAACUGUGCACAUCUUGACGGUACCUAAUCAGAAAGCCACGGCUAACUACGUG
rnacentral:rRNA from 1 species